GGAUACCACUCGCCCUUGACGCGGCACCCCUAUCGGACAGUGGCGUCUUGUGGGACGGGCGACACUAGAUCUACCUCCGAUUCUUUAUAAAUGCACGAUAAUAUGGUAAACGCAAAUAAUUUCAAUACCUUGGAGCCUCUAUAAAUUCGUCAGAUGUUUCCUAUUAAACUCGGUCAACUCUGUUAUAUAACCCGGGCCCCACAAUGUCCGAGGACGUCCCUAACGUAUUACCCCUUAUUCGCUGCUCGGCAAAUUGCAGUGGCGGAAUUCUGUCACAAGGUUCCGCGUUACCAGAAUUUCCGCAGUAAUGUUGUCUGUAGUUUUGUGUAAUUUUCAUACAUUUAUUCUUUAUCCUAAUAAAUUUAUAAUAUAUUACAUAAAAA